rnacentral:rRNA from 1 species
CCGGCGGUGGGACAAUGCCAGGCGGGGAGUUUGACUGGGGCGGUCGCCUCCGAAAGGGUAUCGGAGGCGCCCAAAGGUUCCCUCAGAAUGGACGGAAACCAUUCGAAGAGUGCAAAGGCAGAAGGGAGCUUGACUGCGACACCGACGGGUGGAGCAGGUACGAAAGUAGGGCUUAGUGAUCCGGUGGUAUUAAGUGGGAAUGCCAUCGCUCAACGGAUAAAAGCUACCCUGGGGAUAACAGGCUUAUCACUCCCAAGAGUUCACAUCGACGGAGUGGUUUGGCACCUCGAUGUCGGCUCAUCGCAUCCUGGGGCUGUAGUAGGUCCCAAGGGUUGGGCUGUUCGCCCAUUAAAGCGGUACGCGAGCUGGGUUCAGAACGUCGUGAGACAGUUCGGUCCCUAUCCGGCGUGGGCGUAGGAUAUCUGAGAGGAGCUGUCCUUAGUACGAGAGGACCGGGAUGGACGGACCGCUGGUGGACCGGUUGGCUUGCCAAAGCCAUGGCCGGGUAGCCAAGUCCGGAAGGGAUAAACGCUGAAGGCAUCUAAGCGUGAAGCCCCCCUCAAGAUGAGAUAUCCCAUUCUUAGUGAAGUAAACCCCCUUGAAGACGACGAGGUAGAUAGGGCAGAGGUGGAAGUGUGGUAACACAUGGAGCUGACUGUUACUAAUCGGGUGAGGGCUUGACCAAG